AAUUAUUACUUACAUAUCAACGCUACUAAUCGUUUAAAUUAACACUCGACCUAUAUAAAUAAAAUGUAUAGAUGUCUCGCAAGAACACUUAUAAAACGUAAAGUAUCACUUAAGAUAGAUUGAAUCUGACAUUGUUUCGGUGCGAAAGACUCACAAAGAAAAAUACAGGCAGUUUCGAAAUAGUAUUUGAAAUUAGCAAAAUGACUUCCAUGUCGGAUAUCGGCUUAACGAGGUUCCGCGCUGGUGUUCUGGUAACCUUGAAUUAAUUUGAUGCAGCUCAACUACAAACAUCUGAUUUUCAAGUCUUCAUCGUCAAGUGUUGGAGCUGAGUGAGGUGACAUAUUAAAAUAAUGAUCGCAUCGCAUUUCUUUAAUCUGAGACCGCUGCUCGUUCGUGAUAUCCAGUAAGAAGGUCACAGCUGCCGAGGGAGCAGUUAAAGGUAGCAAUGGCUGUAUUGACCAAGGUGUGCAAUGAUUUCGUGUUUCUUAUUGUAUGUUCACGCUACAGCGAAACAAUAUAAUGGUUGGUAGUUUUAUUAAUUCGAAGGACUCCGCCGACUCACUGAUUGUAUUACCUUUUCAGGCUUAUUUUUUUAAUUUUAAUCAAUGUCACCGGUGUUCGCGUGUUUUUUUGGUUAAUUUAUUUCCAUGAGAAUACUUUUGUAUGAAGUCUUAGUCAUAUUAUUAUGAAGUCGAAGAUAAACAAAAGAAUAACCUCGAUUGAGUCAAAUCAAUUAAUUAGCGUCGUCCCAGAGGCAUGGAGAGCAUUUAUUUUCUGAGACGGAUUUGUAACAAAAUAUAAAAACUUUUUGGUUAUUUAAUAUUGAGGUCGAAAAGGAAUUACUCGAGAGACAAGAAAGUUAAUUACUAUUUCAUUUUCGUAUCUCGAUGAAGUUAAAAAUGAUUUAGAUUCUGACUACAAUACUACGAGGACAUGCGUCGGAGUUAAAGCAUACUCCGCAGCAUCCUAAUUCCUUCAUUAUGUAAGAUAGGUAUUGAUUUUGCUUUCCAUAUCAUUUCGUGUC